CCUGGACUCCUUGCUUGGUACCCUGCAAUAAAUGCUGUACUUUUCUUCACUAAAAACCCUUUGUCAGUAUAUUGGUUUUACUUUGUGCAGGACCCAAGUUUGGUUCAGUAACAACUUGAGGGUAUUGACCCUGGGAUUUUUUCGUUUGUUUGUUUCUUUGUAGGGCCACACCCACAGUAUAUGGACAGUCUCAGGCUAGGGACUGAAUCAGAGCUACAGCUGCUGGCCUACAUCACAGCCAUAGCAAUGCAGGAUCUGAGCUGCAACUGCGACAUACACAACAGCUCAUGGCAACACCAGAUCCUUAACCCACUGAGUGAGGCCAGGGAUCGAACCCACAACCUCAUGGAUCCUAGUUGGGUUCAUUAACCACUGGGCCAUGAAGGGACCCACUGUGAUUUUUUUUUUUUCUUUUUCUUUUUUUGGAUAAAGAAGAUGCAGGCUCUCAGAUUUUGUUGUACCUGGAAAUGCCUUUAAAAGGGAAAAUAAAAGCAGUUAAGUGGCUAGAAGAACUGUAACAAUUAUAAAUCCCAGGCAAUGUACUUACAGAACAAUGAAAACAAUCUGGCAGCAAGCUGAUAAAUUUAAUCAAUUAAGAAAAUAAAACUUGAUUAGUCAGUGAGUGCAAUGAAAAGUGUACAGUGUAGGUGUGAGGUGCCCCUCCACCACUUUCUGUGUUCUCCUGGCAAGUCUCCUUAACUGUAAAACAGGCACAUAACAGGACCUUCAAUGGACAGUUAGCCUUUAAAUUUUGAGGGAUUCCCAAAAUAGAUAGGAGACAUGAUCCCUUCCUCCCUGCAAAGGGAAAAUGUUUCCUGUCUUUUUAUCUGUGGAAGCCAGAACCCCAGGCAGCAAGUAGAUGUUGCUGAAAAUAACCACUAAUUGCUUCCUAAGAGCACUGCUGAUUCUUGAGGGAAAGGCUCGAAGAGACGUUAGACAUUAGUUGAGGCAGAGCCUAGAGUCCAGGUGGGCCAGUGGCCAGGGUCCAGUGGUGGCCAUCCAAGGAGGUAUUGGUGGUAGAGUCUAGGCUGUGCCUUUCCCUGCUUUGUUCCUUGCUUGAUCCCACUUCUCUGGGCUUCCUAUAGAUUCUUCCAAACAUCCACUUGCUGUCUGAAUUAACCAGAGAGGGUUUCUGGCCUCUGUAACAGGGAGCUAAGUCAGCACUGGGAGGUGUAGUGGUGAAGCACCGGGGCACUCUGUCAGGAAGGCCCGCUCUCUGCUGGUUCAGGGGUUGCUUCUGCAGCCGAGAACUUACUGUGCUGGAUGGUUGCCAGAUCCCUACCUCAUUUGCACUCUGCGCAUUCAUAUACCCUUAAGUGUUUAAAAAUCUGUCCCUUUGGGAUGUUCCUUCUUACAAGCAUUUAAAAAUGUUGCCUGGGACUUUUUUAGUUAACUCCAUUAAAAGACUCCUUCAGGCUGUGCCUCAAUUGGCUAAGUUAACUGGUAACAAGAAAUACUGAUUCUUUAGAGUGCUUUUAACUCCUUUUAACUUCAAGUUCAUCCUUGUUGUAUGUAUAGCAACUAUUUCUUCAGGCAAAAAACUAGCACAAUUCUUCAAAGUAUCAAAUACGAAAUUCUGUCUCCCUCUAGAUUAGCCACAGCGCCUGAGAAUACAUCCUGUUUACUUUUCAUAAACUUAACAAAGAAUUAAUCUUUGUACUUUUUUCUUGGUAUUCAAUACUAUUUGUUGAUUAAUGCAAUUUCAGAUUUCCAUUUCUCUUUGGAGAAGAGAAUGUGCUCUUAAAAUACACCAGGUCCAGUGCUGGGCACUUCUAUGCAUGCUUUUCUCAAUCCUCAUCCAAAAAACAAUAUUAGCUCAAGGUCACCCUGCUAAGAAAUAGCAGUAAAAGGAGGAUACACAGGCCUUGACUAAUUCUGAGACCCAUGUCUUUUCAUUCAUUUGAUCACAGAAUGUUCAGUGAGUAUUUAACUUGUGCUGAGGAUAGGGCUAAAUAAUGAGCAAGCACCUCUUUAUUCAAAGAGCUCACUGACUGGAAGAGGACGCAGAGCCAGUAACCGGUAACUGGCCACAUCCAUCAAUACAGUGUGAGUAAUCCAUCCAAGAAGCAGGUGGAGGAACAGGGGAGGGUCCCAUAGGAAAAGGUGGUCAAGGAAGGUUUCACAAAUGAGUGAGGGCUAUGCUGAGGCUAGAACAGAGAUGAGGGGUCAGCAGGUGGAGAAGGGACAGACGUGGUGGAUCUGUCAUCUAUUUGUCUGUCAGUCAUCUAUCUGUUAUAGACUGACUGUGUUCCUCCCCCACUCCCAAACUCAUAUGUUGAAGCUCUAACCCCUCAGUGUGGCUGUAUGUGGAGAAAGGGCCUCUAAGGAGGUAACUGGGUCAAAUGAGGUCCUAAGAGUAGGGCUCUGCUUUGAUUGGAUAAUCAGGUUUGUAGCUGGAAUGGGCCUCACAGAUCAUCUAAAAAAAUACAAAUGAAGUUAUCUACAACACAGAAAUAGACCACAGACAGAAAACUAUGGCUACCAAAGAUGAAAGGAGGGGGAGGAAUAAAUUAGGAGUUUGGGAUUAGCAUACACAUAUUACUAUAUAUAAAACAGAUAAUCAACAAGAAUGUACUGUAUAGCACAGGGAAUUAUACUCAGUAUUUUAUAAUAAACUAUAAUGGACAAGAAUCUGAAAAAGAUGUAUGUGUGUAUGCAUAUAUGUAUAACUAAAUCACUGUGCCAUGUCCUGUACAUCUGAAAUUAACAUGACAUUGUAAAUCAACUAUACUUCAAUACAAUUUUUAAAAUGAAUACAUGGUUUCACUUUACAGAUGAAGAGACUGAGGCCCAUAAACAUUAACCACUGAAGUUGUUUAGUAAUUACUGACUCACAUACAACCGGAACCCAUGUUUCCCUAACUAUUAACUCAGGGCUUUCCAGAUCACACGUGCUAAAACCUCAGAAAUGGGCCCACAGGUUACAAUCCAGGCCACACCUGUUUCCCCUGCAGAAAACAGCCUUUUCUCUCUCUGCAUAGCAGUUAGGAAGAGAAUACAUCCACUUCAAAGCUUGAUGGAAAAUGACAUUCCUUAUGCUGAAAUGCUUAUGCUGGAGAUGUUUUUACAAUAGAUAUUUUGUAUGAAUCCGUGCUUGUUUCUGAAUUUAAAAUUAGUGUAUUUAAGUCAGGGAUAAUUGUGAUUUUUACUUGUACUCCUUCUGUAGGUUUUCUUUGCAAGCACAUUUUUUUUCAGUAUGGGUAGCUGUUUUUCCUUGAAAAGAUAUUAUGAACGUCUCAUGUUUCUUAGCCUCAUAUCUUUUAACAGCAGGAUUUGCUCUUAGAAACUUUUAAUUAUUCAUUUCUUGUGUUAUUUCCUGAUUAUUAGGAGAAAAAGAAAAUAAAUUGCAUUUGCCAUAAAAUCUGCUGAACUGACCACAGGCAACUCAAGAUCUAUAAACCUUUAGUCAAAGCCUCUUAACAAUGCAAAGGAUUAGUUAGAGGGGAGAAAAAAAAUGACUGAAGGGAAAGGAAACUGGCUCUAAGGAUGCAAUAGCUCUCUCCUCCCACUCCCCACCCCCCCAACUUGUGUGCAUGCAUUUCUGAUCAGGCUGACUGCAGUGUGCCUUGGGCGUCACAUUCUCCUGGCAAUUAGUAGCAAAUAAGUAAUAUGAAGCAGUACCAUCAAGUGUUACUAAUUUUAUAGAGAUAAGCUAAAUAAAUAGACAUUAAGAAACUGAAAGCAAGUAAAGAAGAUGGUAGUUUAACGAGGAGGAAAUCCAUCAAGUACUGACCAGGGAGAAAAGGUUUGAGCUACAAAUCGAGACACAUUAAGGGAUAUUUUCCUGGACCACACCGGACCUUUGGUUAUAGCUGAACAAAUCUGUCAGAGCAGAGGGGAGCACUCCUGGCGAGACUUAAAAAGGACAACUGGCAAGGAGAAAUGAGAGCAAAUUUGCCUCUCCUGGCUCUCCACACUGGGUUGACCCCUGUGCCUUGAGUCCACACCACCUGUACUUGUUCAUGACCCCUCCCACACUCUCAAGGGAUGGUUUAAUGUCUGUCUUUCGCUGCCUGUGCUCCAAUCCUGCCUGUGCUUCUCUGCCCCUGACUUGCCUUGUGAUUUUGGCCAAGUGACAGCUUACUUUGCCUCAUCAGGCCCCCCAUCUGUAGUGUGGGGAUAAUGAAGGAACUUAUCUCAGAGGGUUUGUGUGGCAGAAACUUAGCUCCAAUGUGCACACCCGUAGCCUUAGCUUUCCCAGAUGGUUAAUGCAAUUUCUUUAUAAAGAAGCCCACCGCCUGCCUAGGUAUAAAACACCCCAAUGGUGCUCUUAGUGCUGGAGUGGGGAUGAGGAGUAAAGGGUGGGGCUCAGGGUUGGAAUCUGGCCUCUGCAGACUUUCAAGGAACCUGGCCUCCGAGCUCUUGCAGGCCAAUAAAUUGAGAGAUGAGUUGUUGGGGCAAGGAAUAGCGAUCUUAUUUGGAAAGCCAGCAGACCCAGAAGAUGGUAGUAGCGUUCUGAAGAGCCAUCGUGUGCAGACGUGGAUGGUAAGUUCUUUUAUAGCACAAAGAAGAGGAGGUGUGGAGGUAAAUAAAAAAGACAAUAAUUGUUGCAAAUAUUUCUUAGUUUCGGCCAGACUCCAGAGGGGAUAUGUUAAUUUCUUUCCUGCAGUCAGUCAUGUGUGGGCCUUGUCAGAUAUUUCCUGAGAGCUAAAUAAAGGUAUUUUAGCUUAACUUCAGGCACUAGAGGCAGGGUUUCCAGAGAUGGGCCAUUUUGUAUACUUUAAGCUAUAGGCAACAUCCCUUUAAAGAUUAAUAUGUAGCCAAAGCAACAGAAUGCAAAAUUUAAAGAAAUGGACCCAAUAUGGAAUCAUAUUUGUUUUUCCCUAUUACACUCUCACCUCAUUGCAGGCCCCUUUCUCACGCUUGUUUUGCAGCAAUAGAGAACUGAUACAUAUUCAAAGGUUUACUUGUGGUCCAGAGACUAUUGAACUAAUCGUGAGUGAUGGAAUAAAUGAAAUAGAAAACAACUUCAGGUUAGAGUACAGUUACUAGAUGGGGCCUUAAAAAUAAUCUGUGAAAUAUAAGAUCAGGCCAAAGAAUUAGUAAGUUUGAGUGUGGAAGAAAGAGGGAUGUUUCAAAUGAUUAUAAGUGGAAGUUUAAAGACAUGAACAUAGGUGGUUGUGGUGCAGUGGAAACUAAUCUGAUUAGUACCCAUGAGGAUGCGGGUUCAAUCUCUGCCCUCGCUCAGUGGGUUGGGGAUCCAGUGUUGUCAUGACCUGUGGUGUAGGUCACAGACAUGGCUCUGAUCCUGAAUCGCUGUGGCUGUGCGUAGGCCAGCAGCUGUAGCUCAGAUUUGACCCCCAGCCUGGGAACUUCCAUAUGCUGCGAGUGUAGUCCUAAAAAC
rnacentral:lncRNA from 1 species